GCUCACCGCCCUGCCACCUGGAAUAAGCCCGAUCCUGUCUGAUCUCAGAAGCUAAGCAGGGUUGGGCCUGGUUAGUACUUGGAUGGAGACCACAUAGGAAGACCAGGAGCUGUAAGCA
rnacentral:rRNA from 1 species